UUCAGCUCGUAAGAAUCGGUUCGAAACCGCGAAGUCUUUUGCCCUCCAUGGUGCACAUGUGAUCUUGGCCUGCAGGAACAUGGCAAGGGCGAGUGAAGCAGUGUCACGCAUUUUAGAAGAAUGGAUGAAAAGACUGAGUCUCAGGGAACAAACAGCCAAGAGAUGAAAUGCCACAGGGCUGUCUAGGUUCAAACAGCAGCAGAGAGAGAAGGAGAAAUUCCUGCAGAUCAUCAGGGACUGAGGCUAACUGGAGCUUUGGAAUGGAUACAGUGCUACUCUCAGCUGAAACUACAAAUCACUUGCAUCACGUAUAUGAGAUUCCUCUUGCAGCACUGCAGAGGGGUGAUAGGCAAGAGUUGAUCAACAACAGAACACCCACCCAAUUUCUUGACUCAUUCUUCAACAGGCAGGGUCUAUACAUGUGGUAUGGCUGCAAUAUUUGUUGAUAAUCCCCACAUUCACAAAAUGGGCGCACGGGAACUUGUUUGCUGCCUUCUGCCAUGUGAGGACACAGCAAGAAAGCACAUAUAGGAAGUAGAGAUGGAGCCCUCAUUAGACGCCAAAUCUGCUGGUGCCAUGAUCUUGGACUUCCCAGCCUCUAGAACUAUGUGGGAAUUGAGGUGUAGAGCUGUUGAAGAACUUGCCCAGGGUUGCAGAGCUUUCACACGGGCAGAGCACGGGCUGAACCCCAGGCCUGUCUCACACUAAAGCCUGUAAGAAGUGCCUUUGCCUCCUGCCAUGAUUCUGAGGCCUCCUCAGCCAUGUAGAACUAGCUGUGUAAUAUUCCACAAUCCAGAGGAGCAGCUUGUAGCCAGCUAAACUGUCUUUGUUUGGACACAGUGAUCCUCAGGUCUCUUGUGUUUUCACAUGUCUUGGGAACAGAAGUGCUGGCAGCUUUGGUUUCAGGCCAUCUUUCCAAGGAAUGUUGUCUAGCAAAGAAACUUGGAAGGCAGAGAUAGUGUCUCCCUCAGGAGCAGAGGACAGGAUGGCUUUCUUUCCAGUAUAAUAAAGACAGUGCCUCUUCUAGGGCAAUGUUUUGGCAGAUUUGCUUGAUAAAGGUUGGGGUUUCUAAGCUUGGGGCUCCUCAGCCAUGACUGAAACGUACUAUGAGCACGGCAUCUACCGGGCUGUUCCACAUCAUCCCUGUGGGACUAGGGGCCAGGGCAAUGGGAAUCAGUGCAGAAAUAAAGCUCAUGCUGUUUGCUCUG
rnacentral:sRNA from 1 species